GGCUGUUCGCCCAUUAAAGCGGUACGCGAGCUGGGUUCAGAACGUCGUGAGACAGUUCGGUCCCUAUCCGUCGCGGGCGUAGGAAAUUUGAGAGGACCUGUCCUUAGUACGAGAGGACCGGGAUGGACAUACCGCUGGUGUACCAGUUGUUCCGCCAGGAGCACCGCUGGGUAGCUAUGUAUGGACGAGAUAAACGCUGAAAGCAUCUAAGUGUGAAACUCGCCUCGAGAUGAGAUUUCCCAUUUCCUUCGGGAAAGUAAGACCCCUCAGAGAUGAUGAGGUAGAUAGGAUGGAAGUGGAAGUGCCGUGAGGCAUGGAGCGGACCAUUACUAAUCGGUCGAGGACUUAACCAAG
rnacentral:rRNA from 2 species